rnacentral:ncRNA from 1 species
UCGAGGUCGUCCAGUUGCUUGGAACAGCACGUCGUAGAGGGUGACAACCCCGUCUGCGGCGACCUCGGCCGUUCACGAUGUGCUUUCGACGAGUCGGGUUGUUUGGGAAUGCAGCCCAAAAUGGGUGGUAAACUCCAUCUAAAGCUAAAUAUUGGCACGAGACCGAUAGCGAACAAGUACCGUGAGGGAAAGAUGAAAAGCACUUUGAAAAGAGAGUUAAAAAGUACGUGAAACCGUUAAAAGGGAAACGAAUGGGGUUAGCAAUGCGUCGUGCGAGAUUCAGCCGGUGGGUGGGCCAGGCGGGCGGUUGGCGGAUCUGAAUGGACCGCUGCCGUUCGGGUUGGUUUCCCGACCGUCGCACUUCUCGCAGGCGCGCGCCAACGUCGGUUAGGGCUGGGUUUCAAAGGCGGUGGAAAGGUAGGUUUGGACUCUCGGGCCCGAACUGUUACAGUCCUCCGUUUGUCAUGGCCCGGACCUGACCGAGGAGCUUGCGGUGCAUGCCGUUCGGCUAGGGUCCCGUCUUCCCGGUCGGUCGUCGAAUGCGGUGGACUGCGUGCAGUGCGCCGCGACUGCUGCCGGUCGCGAGGGCGGUGAUUUCGUACUAUGCACCCACGACGUUGGCGGUCAUAUGGCCUCAUCCGACCCGUCUUGAAACACGGACCAAGGAGUCUAACAUGUGUGCGAGUCUUUGAGUGAUCGAAACUCCGAGGCGUAAUGAAAGUGAAGGCGACUCCGGUCGCUGAGGUGAGAGCCUUUUACAAAAAANAGGCGCAUCAUUGACCGACCUAUUCUACUCUAGAAAGGUUUGAGUAAGAGCGCAUCUGUUGU